rnacentral:rRNA from 1 species
CAUGCAAGUUGAACGAGAAGGCUCCUUCGGGAGCCGGACAGUGGCGGACGGGUGAGUAAUGCAUGGGAAUCUGCCCAGUAGUGAGGAAUAACCCGGGGAAACUCGGGCUAAUACCGCAUGUCUCCUACGGGAGAAAGCGGGGGAUCUUCGGACCUCGCGCUAUUGGAUGAGCCCAUGUCAGAUUAGCUAGUUGGUGGGGUAAUGGCCUACCAAGGCAACGAUCUGUAGCUGGUCUGAGAGGAUGAUCAGCCACACUGGGACUGAGACACGGCCCAGACUCCUACGGGAGGCAGCAGUGGGGAAUAUUGGACAAUGGGCGAAAGCCUGAUCCAGUAAUGCCGCGUGUGUGAAGAAGGCCUGCGGGUUGUAAAGCACUUUCAUCAGAGAAGAAAAUCCCGGAGCGAAUACCUCCGGGCCUUGACUUAACCUGAACAAGAAGCACCGGCUAACUCCGUGCCAGCAGCCGCGGUAAUACGGAGGGUGCGAGCGUUAAUCGGAAUUACUGGGCGUAAAGCGCACGUAGGAGGCUGAAUCAGUCAGAUGUGAAAUCCCCGGGCUCAACCUGGGAAUUGCAUUUGAUACUGUUCGGCUAGAGUUUGGCAGAGGUAAGCGGAAUUCCGGGUGUAGCGGUGGAAUGCGUAGAUAUCCGGAAGAACACCAGUGGCGAAGGCGGCUUACUGGGCCAAAACUGACU